CAAUAGCGUAUAUUUAAGUUGUUGCAGUUAAAAAGCUCGUAGUUGGAUUUCGGUUGAGAGCGGCCGGUCCGCCGUUUGGUGUGCACUGGCUGGUUUCAACUUCCUGUAGAGGACGCGCUUUGGGCUUAACGGUCUGAACGUGGAGUCUACGUGGUUACUUUGAAAAAAUUAGAGUGUUCAAAGCGGGCUUACGCUUGAAUAUUUCAGCAUGGAAUAAUAAGAUAGGACCUUGGUACUAUUUUGUUGGUUUGCGCACCGAGGUAAUGAUUAACAGGGACAGUUGGGGGUCUUCGUAUUCCAUUGUCAGAGGUGAAAUUCUUGGAUUUCUGGAAGACGAACUACUGCGAAAGCAUUUACCAAGGAUGUUUUCAUUAA
rnacentral:rRNA from 1 species